GGUUGGUCCGAGUGCAGUGGUGUUUACAACUAAUUGAUCACAACCAGUUACAGAUUCCUUUGUUCCUUUUCCACUCCCACUGCUCCACUUGACCACAACA
rnacentral:Y_RNA from 1 species